UACGGGGGGGCAAGCGUUGUUCGGAAUUACUGGGCGUAAAGGGCUCGUAGGCGGCCAACUAAGUCAGACGUGAAAUCCCUCGGCUUAACCGGGGAACUGCGUCUGAUACUGGAUGGCUUGAGUUCGGGAGAGGGAUGCGGAAUUCCAGGUGUAGCGGUGAAAUGCGUAGAUAUCUGGAGGAACACCGGUGGCGAAGGCGGCAUCCUGGACGAGUACUGACGCUGAGACACGAAAGCGUGGG
rnacentral:rRNA from 1 species